rfam:Nelumbo nucifera unplaced genomic scaffold scaffold00136, whole genome shotgun sequence
UAAUAGGCAUCAUUAGAUGCCACAAAAAAAGUUAAACAAAAAAUG